rnacentral:tRNA from 1 species
GACCUGGUAGCUCAGCUGGGAGAGCACUAUCUUGACAGGGUAGGGGUCGUCGGUUCGAACCCGGCCCAGGUCACCA